CUCAAAGGAAUUGACGGGGACCCGCACAAGCGGUGGAUGAUGUGGUUUAAUUCGAUGCAACGCGAAAAACCUUACCUACCCUUGACAUGUCUGGAAUUCCAUAGAGAUGUGGAAGUGCUCGAAAGAGAACCAGAACACAGGUGCUGCAUGGCCGUCGUCAGCUCGUGUCGUGAGAUGUUGGGUUAAGUCCCGCAACGAGCGCAACCCUUGUCAUUAGUUGCUACAUUUAGUUGGGCACUCUAAUGAGACUGCCGGUGACAAACCGGAGGAAGGUGGGGAUGACGUCAGGUCCUCAUGGCCCUUAUGGGUAGGGCUACACACGUCAUACAAUGGCCGGUACAGAGGGCUGCCAACCCGCGAGGGGGAGCUAAUCCCAGAAAACCGGUCGUAGUCCGGAUCGCAGUUUGCAACUCGACUGCGUGAAGUCGGAAUCGCUAGUAAUCGCGGAUCAGCUUGCCGCGGUGAAUACGUUCCCGGGUCUUGUACACACCGCCCAUCAC
rnacentral:rRNA from 1 species